rnacentral:lncRNA from 1 species
GUCAAUAUGUUAACUGGAAUCAACGCAUCUUUACAAAUGUUAAUCCUGUGUGAAUUGAAAUUAACACAAUUUUAACCAAGGAGGAAUUUAAACAAAGAAAUUUUAACCAGUGAAGAAAAUUAGUUCAAUAUAUUUUAAGCAAGGACUUACACAUUUCAACCAAUGGUAAUUCUAACUCAAAUAGUGUUAACCAGAACCAGUUGUAAACUUAGGUCAACGAAUUUCAUAUAUUUGGUACAAAUAUAUUGUGCGUGGUCAUUAAAACAGGUCAAUGAAAGCCAACGUUGGUACACUUGGGUUAACUGAAAAUAUGGGUCAACGAAUUUUAACCUGGGGCAGCACAUUUUAAUCCAGUGGUAAAAAUCGUAUGAGCAUAUUCUGUAGUUACCAAUGUGUAAUUGAGUUUUUACCGGUAAUAAACUUGCAUGAAUGAGUUUUUUUAAAAAAAAAGGGUUUAAAGUUUAUUCACAAAAUGUUAAAGUUAAGAUACAACCAGAAGUGAACUUGGGCCAACGUAAUUUAACCAGGGGUAAAUUGAGGUCAACAUUUUUCAGCAGUGGUAAAUUUAAGCCUGUGUGAAUUGAGGCCAAUAUAUUUUAACCGUCUGUGAAGUCUGUUCAAUGCACAUUUUAACCAGUGGUCAGUUUAGGACAAUACAUAUUUUAACCAGGGGUUAACUUGGGCUAAAAAGUGGGUUUAAAGUUUAUUCACAAAAUGUUAAAGUUAAGAUACAACCAGAAGUGAACUUGGGCCAACGUAAUUUAACCAGGGGUAAAUUGAGGUCAACAUUUUUCAGCAGUGGUAAAUUUAAGCCUGUGUGAAUUGAGGCCAAUAUAUUUUAACCGUCUGUGAAGUCUGUUCAAUGCACAUUUUAACCAGUGGUCAGUUUAGGACAAUACAUAUUUUAACCAGGGGUUAACUUGGGCUAACACAUUUUAAAAAAAAAGUGGGUUUAAAGUUUAUUCACAAAAUGUUAAAGUUAAGAUACAACCAGAAGUGAACUUGGGCCAACGUAAUUUAACCAGGGGUAAAUUGAGGUCAACAUUUUUCAGCAGUGGUAAAUUUAAGCCUGUGUGAAUUGAGGCCAAUAUAUUUUAACCGUCUGUGAAGUCUGUUCAAUGCACGUUUUAACCAGUGGUCAGUUUAGGACAAUACAUAUUUUAACCAGGGGUUAACUUGGGAUAACACAUUUUUAAAAAAAAGUGGGUUUAAAGUUUAUUCACAAAAUGUUAAAGUUAAGAUACAACCAGAAGUGAACUUGGGCCAACGUAAUUUAACCAGGGGUUAAUUUAGGUCAACAUUUUUCAGUAGUGGUAAAUUUAAGCCUGUGUGAAUUGAGGCCAAUAUAUUUUAACCGUCUGUGAAGUCUGUUCAAUGCACAUUUUAACCAGUGGUCAGUUUAGGACAAUACAUAUUUUAACCAGGGUUAACUUGGGCUAACACAUUUUUAAAAAAAGUGGGUUUAAAGUUUAUUCACAAAAUGUUAAAGUUAAGAUACAACCAGAAGUGAACUUGGGCCAACGUAAUUUAACCAGGGGUAAAUUGAGGUCAACAUUUUUCAGCAGUGGUAAAUUUAAGCCUGUGUG